CCUACGGGCGGCAGCAGUGGGGGAUAUUGCACAAUGGGGGAAACCCUGAUGCAGCGACGCCGCGUGGGUGAAGAAGUAUUUCGGUAUGUAAAGCCCUAUCAGCAGGGAAGAAAGAAGACGGUACCUGACUAAUAAGCCCCGGCUAACUACGUGCCAGCAGCCGCGGUAAUACGUAGGGGGCGAGCGUUAUCCGGAUACACUGGGUGGAAAUGAAGCGUAGACGGCCGGGCAAGCCAGGAGUGAAAGCCCGGGGGCCAACCCCCGGACUGCUCUUGGUACUGUCCCGUUGGAGUGAGGGAGGGGCAGGCGGAAGUCCAGGUGUAGCGGUGAAAUGCGUAGAUAUAAGGAGGAACACCGGCGGCGAAGGCGGCCUGCUGGACCGCGACUGACGUUGAGGCUCGAAAGCGUGGGGAGCGAACAGGAUUAGAUACCCCUGUAGUC
rnacentral:rRNA from 1 species